AGGAUGAACGCUGGCGGCGUGCCUAACACAUGCAAGUCGAACGUCCUGUCUCGCAAGAGGCAGGGAGUGGCGGACGGGUGAGUACCACGUGGGUUAUCUACCGUGAGGUGAGGAAUACCGGCGAGAAAUCGCCGACAAGACCGCAUAGCCUCGGUGCAAGCCGAGGAAAGCUUUCUCGAGAGAGGGAGCGCCACACGAGGAGCCUGCGCCCGAUUAGCUAGCUGGUGGAGUAACGGUUCACCAGGGCGACGAUCGGUAGCUGGUCUGAGAGGACGAUCAGCCACACUGGGAUUGAGAACGGCCCAGACUCCUACGGGGGGCAGCAGUGAGGAAUUUUCGUCAAUGGGGCAACCCUGAACGAGCAACGCCGCGUGCAGGAAGAAGGUUUUCGGAUCGUAAACUGCUUUUCGUCGGGGAAGAGAACGGACGGUACCCGAGGAAUCGACGCCCGGCUAACUACGUGCCAGCAGCCGC
rnacentral:rRNA from 1 species